rnacentral:rRNA from 1 species
GAGAGUUUGAUCCUGGCUCAGGAUGAACGCUAGCGGCAGGCUUAAUACAUGCAAGUCAAGGGGUAGAGAGUUUUCGGAUUCUUGAGACCGGCGAACGGGUGCGUAACGCGUAUGCAACUUACCUGUAUCAGGGGGAUAGCCCGGGGAAACCCGGAUUAAUACCGCAUAACAUAUUGACUGGCAUCGGUUGAUAUUGAAAGAUUUAUCGGAUACAGAUGGGCAUGCGUAAGAUUAGCUAGAUGGUGAGGUAACGGCUCACCAUGGCGACGAUCUUUAGGGGCUCUGAGAGGAGCAUCCCCCACACUGGCACUGAGAUACGGGCCAGACUCCUACGGGAGGCAGCAGUAGGGAAUAUUGGGCAAUGGAGGCAACUCUGACCCAGCCAUGCCGCGUGCAGGAAGACGGUCCUCUGGAUUGUAAACUGCUUUUGAAUAGGAAGAAUGUGUGGCUUGCGAGCCAUAAUGACGGUACUAUUAGAAUAAGCCACGGCUAACUACGUGCCAGCAGCCGCGGUAAUACGUAGGUGGCGAGCGUUAUCCGGAUUUAUUGGGUUUAAAGGGUGCGUAGGCGGCGGAUUAAGUCGAUGGUGAAAGGUAGCAGCUUAACUGUUUUACAUGCUGUCGAUACUGAUUUGCUUGAGUUACCGAGAGGCAAGUAGAAUUUCCGGUGUAGCGGUGAAAUGCUUAGAUACCGGAAGGAAUACCGAUUGCGAAGGCCACUUGCUAUAGGUAAACUGACGCUGAGGCACGAAAGCGUGGGGAUCAAACAGGAUUAGAUACCCUGGUAGUCCACGCUGUAAACGAUGAUUACUAGUUGUUGGGUUCUUGUGACUCAGUGACCAAGGGAAACCGAUAAGUAAUCCACCUGGGGAGUACGCCGGCAACGGUGAAACUCAAAGGAAUUGACGGGGGUCCGCACAAGCGGUGGAGCAUAUGGUUUAAUUCGAUGAUACGCGAGGAACCUUACCUGGGCUAAAUGUUAGGGAAUGCAUCAGAAAUGGUGCAGCCGGCAACGGUCCGAAACAAGGUGCUGCAUGGCCGUCGUCAGUUCGUGCCGUGAGGUGUUGGGUUAAGUCCCGCAACGAACGCAACCCCUAUAUUCUGUUGCCAGCAUGUUAUGAUGGGGACUCAGAAUAGACUGCCUACGCAAGUAGAGAGGAAGGAGGGGACGACGUCAGGUCAUCAUGGCCCUUACGUCCAGGGCGACACACGUGCUACAAUGGAGGGUACAGCGUGUAGCUAGUCGGCAACGACACGCCAAUCACUAAAAGCCCUUCACAGUUCGGAUUGGGGUCUGCAACUCGACCCUAUGAAGCUGGAAUCGCUAGUAAUCGCAUAUCAGCCAUGAUGCGGUGAAUACGUUCCCGGACCUUGUACACACCGCCCGUCAAGCCAUGGGAGUUGGGUAGACCUGAACCGGAAGAUUAAAGACUUCGUUAGGGUAGAAUCAGUAACUAGGGAUAAGUCGUAACAAGGUAGCCGUAG